UUUCUUUCCCUUGGCUCAUGGCGUGCCUCCAUGACUCUUGGUCUCCCCCAUUGUAGAACUGGUUCAUCUGCCAACUUGGAUAGACGAAGAAGCCAGCUGGCUCUGCUUACUGUUUAGGGGACCAGGGAGAGCCCAGAGCACAGUUCCUCCACAGCCAGCCAGGCAAGCCCCAGAAAAGCAGCCAGAAAUUUAUGAAUAUUUCCAGGGCUGGCCAGCUAUGCCUGACAUCUGCACUCCAGAGCUGGAGACCUUCAAGCCUCAUUCCAAACCCACAGGGCCAACUCCUGCCCUGCCAUGUCUCUUCAAUUUUCUGUCUUCUGAAACUGCUGUGGGUCCAUGUUUAACUGGUCAUGAGAGAAAGAAUCAGACUUUAUUCUUUUCAAGUUCCUCCAGCAUACAGAGUUCAGUGUGCUCUUCAUUC
rnacentral:lncRNA from 1 species